UUCAGAGUGUGCUCUUCUGAUCCCAGUCAUAUUGGAUUAAGUCCCACCUACUCCAAUGGAGCCUCAUCUCAACUAAUAUCUGCAAGUAGUCCAUACCGGGGGUUAGGGCUUCAGCACAGGUUUCAGAGGGAGUAUAAUUCAACCCUGACAGGCUUCAUAACGUCAGAGCCCAACAAAGGAUUUCACCUAAAGUGCAGAUUGGCUACAUACCUCCAUCUCCCAAGAUUGGUUACAAUUAUAGUAAGGAACAUGAUAAGACCUCCAGCGACAAGAUGGGAGUAGACCUCCUGUGAUCAAAUAACACGUUUCAACACGUUGGAAGGAAUUUGGAAUUCCUUCCAACAUUUUGGAAGGAAUUAAGGAAGACAGUAACGAGGAGAGCAGAUAUGCCUGCGGGCCAGACCAGCUGAGUUUGGAGGUGUCAUGGUGGAGGUGGCAGGACUAAAAUCAGGUGGAGAGGGUAUCAGUCUGUAAGAACUGGUCCUCCACCCCCUGCUGCGUUCCAGAAUGGACAGGAAUUUAUCCUGUGGCUGUGGACCAGAUUGGAGAAACAGACCUGGAUGAGAUCCUAACUCACAGACCCUUUGUGGCAGAGGGUGGGGAUUCCGUGGUGCUAAAAACAAGGGUUUAGUUCUGGAACUUGCACUCCAUCCAGAUGGGCCACCAAUAUCCACCUCCCCGGCUGGUGAUCAGAAGAUGUUUUCUGAGGCACUGGGUGGCUCCGUCAGUUGAGUAUCUGACUGUGGCUCCCGUCAUGAUCUCACGGUUCAUGAGUUCGA